rnacentral:lncRNA from 1 species
CGCCCCCACAGCCAUGUCAGAAACAGGAGGAGAACCUCGUUCUGACAUGAGCAAAGUCGAAGGCCCAGUUCUUUUAGACCGGAUGGGGGGAGAGACCCUUGCGAUGGCCCUUAUGUGCCCCCACGGCCCCGUUAGGAACAGGAGGAGAACCUCAUCCUAACCUGAGCUGAGAUCGACUACGUCAGGAAUGGAAGGAGAGCCCCGUCCUAACGAUGACGAAACCCGACCGCC